UGGCUCAGUUGGUAGAGCAUGGUGUUUGCAACGCCAGGGUUGUGGGUUCGAUUGCCAC
rnacentral:tRNA from 1 species